rnacentral:rRNA from 1 species
UACAGAGGUCUCGAGCGUUGUUCGGAUUCAUUGGGCGUAAAGGGCGCGUAGGCGGCGGGGUAAGUCUGGUGUGAAAUCUCGGAGCUCAACUCCGAAAUUGCACUGGAUACUGCUCUGCUAGAGGGCUGGGAGAGGAGAUCGGAAUUCACGGUGUAGCAGUGAAAAUGCGUAGAUAUCGUGAGGAAGACCAGUGCGAAGGCGGGAUCUCUGGACAGUUUCCUGACGUGAGGCACGAAGGUCAGGGGGAGCAAAACGGG